AUUCCCGGUACGGUUUCAACGCACAAAAAAAGAGGCUCCACCUGAUUGGCUAUUUUGGACCUUGUUGAAAAAACAAGCGGACAGACAUUGUUGGGUGCUGGAGUUUAGUUUUGUAGGGAGCUUUCUUUUCCACCAGGAGGAGCCAUGAGGUCGCGGUCUGGGAGGAUCGGUUCCGCGCACCUGUGCGUAAUCGGCGUCAUCAUCUCCAGCAUAAAGGAGCGGGCGGCCGGUUCUCCAGCGCUUGAGUGUUAACCUCUAAUGGUUCUCCUCACAUGGUACCGUGGAGAAAAAUCCCUUAAGAAACCCUCAUACAGGUCCAAGAACCUCCGUUGAAGACCGGUGGAAAGCCAUUUAUACUGGCCGAGAUCCGCUCCAGGUUGCUGCCUACCUGCCCGCCCUCCAACGAUUCUCCCAUUAGAGACCGCAGAGAAUUCUCCGACCCUCGAACCCCGGACUGGACUCCUCCUUCCUCCUGUCAGCACCCCAGGCUCUGGUUUCCCCAACCUCAGAUCCCCCUCUCCGGCGGAUGCCUCUCACCAAUCCUGUAAGGUCGCUCCCGAAGUAGUUUUGGCUUUAGUUCUGCCUACCACUUGCCUUUCUUCUCUCCUGCCCUCAGCACAAGAUGAUCCUGUCCCACAGGACCAGUUAAAUUACAGAUCAGACCAAAUAUCUGUUUAAUCAGAAAAAUAAACUUUAUUUAUCUGAU